UACGAAGGGGGCUAGCGUUGCUCGGAAUCACUGGGCGUAAAGCGCGCGUAGGCGGUUUGUUAAGUGGGAUGUGAAAUCCCCGGGCUUAACCUGGGAAUUGCAUUUCAAACUGGCCGACUAGAGUACGGUAGAGGGAGGUAGAAUUUCCUGUGUAGCGGUGAAAUGCGUAGAUAUCUGGAGGAACACCGGUGGCGAAGGCGGCAUCCUGGACCGGUAUCGACGCUGAGGCGCGAAAGCCAGGGGAGCAAACGGG
rnacentral:rRNA from 1 species